CACUUAUGGAGUCGUCUCCUCUUUCCA
rnacentral:tRNA from 1 species